rnacentral:rRNA from 1 species
GUUAGGAAUAUUGGACAAUGGGCGCAAGCCUGAUCCAGCCAUGCCGCGUGAGUGAUGAAGGCCUUCGGGUUGUAAAGCUCUUUAGUCCACGAAUAUAAUGACUGUAGUGGAAGAAUAAGCCCCGGCUAACUUCGUGCCAGCAGCCGCGGUAAUACGAAGGGGGCGAGCGUUAUUCGGAAUCACUGGGCGUAAAGCGUGCGUAGGCUGUUUUGUAAGUCAGAAGUGAAAGCCCAGGGCUUAACCCUGGAAUUGCUUUUGAAACUACAAGACUCGAAUUCGGGAGAGGAUAGCGGAAUUGUCAGUGUAGCAGUGAAAUGCGUAGAUAUUGACAGGAACACCAGUGGCGCAAGCGGCUAUCUGGACCGAUAUUGACGCUGAGGUGCGAAAGCGUGGGGAGCAAACAGGAUUAGAAACCCUGGUAGUCC